GACGAACGCUGGCGGCGUGCUUAACACAUGCAAGUCGAGCGGUAAGGCCUUUCGGGGUACACGAGCGGCGAACGGGUGAGUAACACGUGGGUGAUCUGCCCUGCACUUCGGGAUAAGCCUGGGAAACUGGGUCUAAUACCGGAUAUGACCUCCUAUCGCAUGGUGGGUGGUGGAAAGAUUUAUCGGUGCAGGAUGGGCCCGCGGCCUAUCAGCUUGUUGGUGGGGUAAUGGCCUACCAAGGCGACGACGGGUAGCCGACCUGAGAGGGUGACCGGCCACACUGGGACUGAGACACGGCCCAGACUCCUACGGGAGGCAGCAGUGGGGAAUAUUGCACAAUGGGCGAAAGCCUGACGCAGCGACACCGCGUGAGGGAUGACGGCCUUCGGGUUGUAAACCUCUUUCAGCAGGGGCGAAGCGCAAGUGACGGUACCUGCAGAAGAAGCACCGGCUAACUACGUG
rnacentral:rRNA from 1 species